AGGAGUUAUGAUGAAUGGCUGAAAAUGUUCAACUGCUCUGAAGUGUGAGUGACAGACGCCUUUCUGAACGACC
rnacentral:snoRNA from 1 species